rnacentral:rRNA from 1 species
CCGGUGACGUAUCCUUCAAAUGUCUGACUUAUCAGCUGUCGAUGGUAGACUCUGCGCCUACCAUGGCCCUCACGGGUGACGGGGAAUCAGGGUUCGAUUCCGGAGAGGGAGCCUGAGAAGCGGCUACCACAUCCAAGGAAGGCAGCAGGCACGCAAAUUACCCACUCCCAGCACGGGGAGGUAGUGACAAAAAAUAACGAUACGGGACUCAUCCGAGGCCCCGUAAUCGGAAUGAGAACACUUUAAAUCCUUUAACGAGGAUCAAUUGGAGGGCAAGUCUGGUGCCAGCAGCCGCGGUAACUCCAGCUCCAAUAGCGUAUAUUAAAGUUGUUGCGGUUAAAAAGCUCGUAGUUGGUUCUGCGUGCCACGCUGUCGGUUCACCGCCUGCCGGUGCAACUGGCAUGCCGUGGAAUGUCCUGCCGGUGGUGGGCAGGUCUGGCGGCGCGCCCCAUGCGGUAUACCAGCGUGUGGGUGCCCGCGCCGCUCUGGCCCCGCCCACCGUCCAAAUCCUACCGCGGUGCUCUUCACCGAGUGUCGAGGUAGGCCGGCACUGUUUACUUUGAACAAAUUAGAGUGCUCAAAGCAGGCUCUUUAAUCAGCCUGAAUAGUGGUGCAUGGAAUAAUGGAAGAGGACCUUGGUUCUAUUUUGUUGGUUUCCGGAAUCCAAGGUAAUGAUCAAUAAGGACAGGCGGGGGCAUUCAUAUUGCGGCGUUAGAGGUGAAAUUCUUGGAUCGUCGCAAGACGCACUAAAGCGAAAGCAUUUGCCAAGUAUGUCUUAAUUGAUC